AGCAAUUCCCCGACAUAUUUUCCGUAUGCAAAGUGACCUCAGUGUGACACAUCUCGUAAAAAUCCGGUGAUCGCAAUACGCAUGGAUGUCCUUAAAAUAAACUAUUAUCUGAUUGUACAUUGUACAUGUUAAACACGUGCUCAAUAUCCAUGCUUUUUGUUGAUUGUUGACAAACAGGUGAUAAUCGUUAAACUUUGGCUUCAAAACACGAAC
rnacentral:lncRNA from 1 species